rnacentral:rRNA from 1 species
AUUGAACGCUGGCGGCAUGCCUUACACAUGCAAAUCGAACGGUAACGGGCCUUCGGGUGCCGACGAGUGGCGCACGGGUGAGUAAUACAUCGGAACGUGCCCGAUCGUGGGGGAUAACGAGGCGAAAGCUUUGCUAAUACCGCAUACGAUCUACGGAUGAAAGCAGGGGACCGCAAGGCCUUGCGCGGACGGAGCGGCCGAUGGCAGAUUAGGUAGUUGGUGGGAUAAAAGCUUACCAAGCCGACGAUCUGUAGCUGGUCUGAGAGGAUGAUCAGCCACACUGGGACUGAGACACGGUCCAGACUCCUACGGGAGGCAGCAGUGGGGAAUUUUGGACAAUGGGCGCAAGCCUGAUCCAGCCAUGCCGCGUGCAGGAUGAAGGCCUUCGGGUUGUAAACUGAUUUUGUACGGAACGAAAAGCCUUCUUUUAAUACAGGAGGGUCAUGACGGUACCGGAAGAAUAAGCACCGGCUAACUACGUG